UGUUGGGUGUGAGAGUGUUUGGUGUAGGGUGUGAGAGUGUGCUUGGUGUGGCGUGUGUGAGUUUGUUUGGUGUAGGGUGUGUGAGUGUGUUUGGUGUGGCGUGUGUGAGUGUAUUUGGUGUGGGGUGUGUGAGAGUGUUUGGUGUGGGGUGUGAGAGUGUUUGGUGUAGGGUGUGUUUGAGUGUUUGGUGUGGGGUGUGUGAGUGUGUUUGGUAUGGCGUGUGUGAGUGUGUUUGGUGUGGGGUGUGUGAGAGUGUUUGGUGUGGGGUGUGAGAGUGUUUGGUGUAGGGUGUGUUUGUGUGCUUGGUGUGGCGUGUGUGAGUGUGUUUGGUGUGGUGUGUGUGAGUGUGUUUGGUGCGGGGUUUAUGUGUGAGUGCAUUUUGAAUACUGAAACA